rnacentral:rRNA from 1 species
GACGUAGGGGACGAGCGUUGUCCGGAUUCAUUGGGCGUAAAGCGCGCGUAGGCGGCCACGCAAGUCGGGUGUGAAAUCCCGGAGCUCAACUCCGGAACUGCACUCGAAACUGCGCGGCUUGAGGUAGGUAGGGGAGAUCGGAAUUCCUGGUGUAGCGGUGGAAUGCGCAGAUAUCAGGAGGAACACCGGUGGCGAAGGCGGAUCUCUGGGCAGUAACUGACGCUGAGGAGCGAAAGCGUGGGGAGCGAACAGG